rnacentral:rRNA from 1 species
CCGACUGCUAUUGGGGUGAGGAUAAGCCAUGCGAGUUGAAUGGGAUACCUAGAGUUCCCAUGGCAAACUGCUCAGUAACACAUGAUCGACUUACCCUAUAGAGAAAAAUAACCUCGGGAAACUGAGGAUAAUGUUUCAUAGUUGAAUUGGCUUGGAAAAGUUUUUCGACGAAAAGGGUAAAAAGAAUGGUUUUUAUCCGCUAUAGGAUAGGAUCGUGUUCGAUUAUGGUUGUUGGUGAGGUAAUGGCUCACCAAGCCGAUAAUCGAUAGGGGCCGUGAGAGCGGGAGCCCCGAGAUGGGUACUGAGACAACGACCCAGGCCUUACGAGGCGCAGCAGGCGCGGAACCUCCGCAAUACACGAAAGUGUGACGGGGUUACCCAAAGUGUUCAAUUUUGAACUGUGGUAGGUGAGUAAUGUUCCCUACUAGAAAGGAGAGGGCAAGGCUGGUGCCAGCCGCCGCGGUAAAACCAGCUCUUCAAGUGGUCGGGAUAAUUAUUGGGCUUAAAGUGUCCGUAGCCGGUUUAGUAAGUUCCUGGUAAAAUCGGGUAGCUUAACUAUCUAUAUGCUAGGAAUACUACUAUACUAGAGGGCGGGAGAGGUCUGAGGUACUACAGGGGUAGGGGUGAAAUCUUAUAAUCCUUGUUGGACCACCAGUGGCGAAGGCGUCAGACUGGAACGCGCCUGACGGUGAGGGACGAAAGCCAGGGGAGCGAACCGGAUUAGAUACCCGGGUAGUCCUGGCCGUAAACGAUGCAUACUAGGUGAUGGCACGGCCAUGAGCCGUGUCAGUGCCGUAGGGAA